GACGAACGCUGGCGGCGUGCCUAACACAUGCAAGUCGAGCGAAUGAAGUUCCUUCGGGACUGGAUUUAGCGGCGGACGGGUGAGUAACACGUGGGCAACCUGCCUCAUAGAGGGGAAUAGCCUCCCGAAAGGGAGAUUAAUACCGCAUAAGAUUGUAGUACCGCAUGAUACAGCAAUUAAAGGAGCAAUCCGCUAUGAGAUGGGCCCGCGGCGCAUUAGCUAGUUGGUGAGGUAAUGGCUCACCAAGGCGACGAUGCGUAGCCGACCUGAGAGGGUGAUCGGCCACAUUGGGACUGAGACACGGCCCAGACUCCUACGGGGGGCAGCAGUGGGGAAUAUUGCACAAUGGGGGAAACCCUGAUGCAGCAACGCCGCGUGAGUGAUGACGGCCUUCGGGUUGUAAAGCUCUGUCUUCAGGGACGAUAAUGACGGUACCUGAGGAGGAAGCCACGGCUAACUACGUG
rnacentral:rRNA from 1 species